GUAAGCCAGGGGAAGCCCCCGAGCCAAGGUACUUCUGGUCUUUCUCUUCUGACAAACACUUGGGGCCAGAGACGCACCCUUCCCAGUAUGAGCUACCGGGUGCUGUGCUGGAUAACCCUUUGUCUAUUUGGAGCAGGAAUCAUGGACGGUGACAUCAUUCAGACCCCCAAAUUCCAGUUCAUAGAGAAAGGAAAGGACGUUACCCUGGGAUGUGAACAGAAUUUGAAUCACGAUGCCAUGUACUGGUACCGACAGGACCCACGGCAAGAGCCGAGACUGAUCUACUUCUCACAGUUUGUCAGUGAUAUCCAGAAAGGGGACCUAGCUGAGGGCUAUACUGUGUCUAGGGAGAAAAAGGAAUUAUUUCCCCUCACAGUGACAUCGACACAAAAGAAUCAGACUGCAAUCUAUCUCUGUGCCAGCAGUAUGGCACAGUGGAGCAUAGCCACCUCCUCUGUGCGCAAAAUGUGUCCCUAG